AAAAAAUAUUUACAUAACCAUUAUAAUACAAUAAUUUAAUCAAAAAAUACAAUUAAAAAAAUUAAAAAGAAUAGUUAUAUACUUAAUAUUUGAAAAUAAAAGAUAUUUUUGCUAAAAUUGUACUUACCUGGCCAAGGAGAUCGACCAUCUUUUUACGGAUCGAUCGAAUGUUGAGCAUGUGGUUGAUCCGAAAAUACACUGCAGUUUAAUAAAAUCUCUAAAACAUUUAUUCCAACACUCAAAAGAUAGUUUUGCUAAAUAUGAUAACUAGAUAGCCAAUAAAAUUAUAAAAAAAUAUUUAAAUAGUAAAAAAUAUGUUAAUUUAACGUGUUAAAAUUUAAAAAUAAAUUUUAAUUAUGACAUGCAUUUAACAUUUAUAUAAAUAUAUAUCAUAGCCUAAAUAUAAAUAAUUUAACAACUUAAAUUAGAAAAAAAUAAAAAUCCCGGGCGUAGCCCGGGUUAAUCCCUAGUAUCUAAUGAAUGGCAUGGUCUUGUAAUUUUUCUAGUAAACAAAAGGUCUUAAAUAUUUGAACUGAGAAGAGCUGUGGAGCUGCCACGUAAACACUGAUACAAAGAUUGUAACUUAAAAAAUGCUUCACAAAUAAUAUAUAAGGGAUAUGUAACAAAUAAUUGCUUGGUAACUACUCUAAUAUUUAUUGCUCAUAAGUUCGAGACUUAUGAGACACUUUUAUUAAUUAAUGGGAUUAUGCGACAUGUUUUGGAAGGUUUCUUCACUAAAGUUAAAACACUUUGUAGUUCUUUAUUAUACCUAUAUUAUACGUAUAAUGGUGGUGAGAAAUACGUUAAUGUUACGUGCAUGGAAUUAAUAUUAUACAAAACCUUGGAGUAAUGUUCUACACAUGCAUUACUGUUACGUGCAUGUAGUUAAAUGUGAUACAAAACUUUGGAGUAAUGUUCUACAAAUGCAUUCCAAAUUUUGUAAGACAUCCUAUGUAGAGUGUUUGAGUAUUUUGAUUUGAUUCUAGAGUACCAAUGUAGAGUGUUUGUUUUGAAGAUUGCUGGCAGGCCUAAUCUUCUACCUCCGCGAACUGAAGCUUUGUCAAAGUAUCAUAAUGUUAGUUCUACUCUGCAAAUUCUGGAUAAUGUCGCACAAGAAGUACCCAACUUUGGAACUGAGCAGAUCUUCAUUUCUACCCCGACAAAUAGUGCACUAUACUUAUGAAGAAUAUGUAUAAUAGUCGUAGCAUUGCUUGGGAACAGGAUGAGGGACUUGAGGCAUGCUCUGGGUUUGCGGAAAUCUAUGGUUUGUUUCUUUAUUUUUGUUACUAUCUUCUUUAACUUCCAUCAGACAUUGAUGGAUUCUCUUCAGUGGAGGUGCAUGAUUAUAACCUGGCCCGGGUUGAGGUUGCAGUUCACUUUUUAUCCUAUUUGACUGAUAGAUUAUGCACACUUUUUCCUUGUAUUAGUGCCUCUUUCUUGCUUUCAUAGCAAUACUCUAGAAAGCCUUACUUUAGUUUGAUGUAUUGUAUAUUUGUAGUUACUGAUUUCUAAAAUGUUGUGCUAUCUACCAAUUCUUUGUCAGUAUUUCAUUUCUCGUGCUUUGAGAGUGUCCUCUGAUUUCCUCGUGGGGUUGAGCAAUAUGUGAUAAAUGAUUCAUCCGAGUCUUCUCCCUUUCAUCUCUCCCUUUAUAACCCUGAUCUCCAGUUUCUCCACUGCACUUAUCAUACGUUCCAUCAACCUAUCAGCCUCAAUCAUCUCAUUUUCGCUCUUCGUCAUUGCUUCUUCGUACUCGGUUAGCUUCUUAUGUUCGAACUCUUCAAAGUCAUCAGAGAAUACUUUUUUAUCAGAGAAUACUUGUUGUUCACUACCUCGUACUUGACAGAACACCGUUCUUCUUCAGGGAUAAGCUUAUAGCUCGGUAUCAUUUGGUUUAACCGAAUAAACAUUCUCUGUUUCUUCAUCAGUCUCCUCACCAAGUGCAAGUUUCUUCCAUUAUUUCCCUCCAAGUCCAUCUUUAUGAGCACAUCAUUCAAAUUAUUAUGCUUCCAUCACUUUUUUAUAGUCUGUCAAAGAAAAAAAAAUUAAAACUCUUUCUAAAGUUCCCUAACAUACCAAAAGUUAACGAAACAAAACAUUUAUAAAUUUAAAAUAUCAAAGAAACUUUAAGAGCACAUUGGUAACAUAUUUCUCAGACUCUUGCUCCUGAAACAUAUUCUCUAUGGUUUUCAUCAACUUUAAUAAUAUCUCCACCAUCGGCUCUAAUCUUUAAGUUUCCAUAAUGAAUUGGAUAAAUUUUAGAGCUCUCAUCUAAUUCCAACAUGGGAUCCUAUCUUUAGAUUACCAUGAUGAAUAGGAUACUCUUUUAAGCUCUCUUAUACUUUGGCCCUAACCACAAAAACAUGGUGUUCUUGGAUUCCACCGUUUUCAAGUUCGGUAUCAACAUGGUGUUGUUGUGUCUUUGCAUGAUUCUUAAACAAAAGGUGAAUAGAGUUUCUGAACACGCUAUGUUUGAUUCUGUUCUUACAAAAAAUUUCAAUCAAGGAAUUUAAUGUUUCCAUUCAAGGAAUUUAACGUUUCCAUUCCCUGCGGACUCAGUGCCUCAGUGAUCUCAUUACACAAGUUUUUGAGUGACUUAAGUUCACCCUCGCCCACGGACGCCAUCGCUUCUAAAUCGCCUUCUUCCUCACUAUGUAUGUUUUGUUUGUUCAAGUCUUCUUCUAGUAUAUACAUAGGAAAAAAAGAUUCCUUAUCAUCACAGUCUUUCCUAAUCACUUGGUUUAACCGCAUAGACAUUCUCAGUUUCUUCAUCAGUCUCCUACUCGCGUGCAAGUUGCUUCUAUUAUUUACAUACACGUAAAUCUUUAUGAGCACAUCUAUAUUAUUAAAGUUGAAGUACACAUUGAGAUUGUUUGGCAAUAUGGAUAGGAGUUAAAAAAUAAUACUGUUUGGAAACAUGGAUAGUAGUAACUUAGAAAAAAAAAUGGCCUUAUGCUACUAAAAAAUUGGAAGUCCAUUACAUUAUAUCAAAAAGUAAUGAGUCUAUGUUACUUGAUAAUAUAUAUAUUCAAAUCAAAAUAAUAAUUUAAAAUUGAUUUAUAUCAAAAAUUCAUUCAAAAAUAAACAUAUAUUCAAAAUUUGAUUUUUACUAACAUAUUUUUCAAUAACUAUUACAAAAAUGUUUUCAAUAUAUAUAAGAAAAAUACAAUACAAAGCCUAAUUUCAAACACCAACUUAAAUUAUGGUUUUAAAUUUCA